CUCGCCUUUCCUGUGAGAUUAUGCAAGAAAUGAGUGGCCUACGUCCUGUCUUGAGCUGAAUUUUAUCACCUACAGCCUGCAGGAGGAGGAAGGUCACGCUUGACUUGUUGGCAGGUUUAAGGUGGCCUCUGCAAAGGGUGUGGAGGACAAGAAGGUAAAACUAUCUGUAAUUCCACCACAGCAAGAUAGCCGCACACCUUAUCUCCUCCCCACCGCAAACAAGGUUACAGGCGGAAUCACUCGCAGCUCAAAAUGGUGUGCCCUGCAGCAGUUUGCUGGGCUGUCAAGUAUUGCCUUGGUCGCCUAUCUGUGCUCAAAAUUCAAGGUGAGUGGACAUGGAUCAGCUUAACAUAAGGGAUGAUCAAGGUCUUUUGUUUUCACUGACACUCUGCAACAGUAAAGUUUGUACCUACACCUCCAGUUCACAAGUGAGUGUUUAAUUUUGUUUUCACUGACACUGCAACAGUAAAGUUUGUACCUACACCUCCAGUUCACAAGUGCCUUGAAGAAACAUGAUCCCCUCAACUACCAAGUUAAGUGUGUCUGUGUAUUGUACAGUGAAAUGGGGGAUUAUACGUAUUCCAGUACAUUCGUCCCACAAGUAAUUCUCCAUACAUGAAAGUGUUGCUGGGAAUGGUAGUGGUUAGAGCAUUUUGUCUGAAGGGUGACUUUCCGAUGGUUUUCCUGUAUGUCUAGUUGUCCAAUAUGCUUUUGGGCUGAUUUGUUAUUAUGUCAAGACCUCUCUCUCUCUCUCAGAACUGUAAGAUCACUUGACUUUCACAUGAUGCAAGAAGUAAAAAAACGUCUGUCCUUGGCAAUGUUCAGCUACACAAACUUGAUCAAAGACCUUUUAUGUGACUGUAAAACCUUAUGGAAAUUUAAGAGAUAAUGACCUUCUGAACUCACUUUUGUUUAUUUAAAUACCUGAUGACCUUGAACACUGAUUGAGGUCUCCAAUGUAUGAAUUAAUAAUUUUAUAAGGAUUUGGUGUGAGGUUCAGUCCUUUUAUGAACAACACAAAAAUCUUAGGAAAUCAAAUGCUCUAUCUAGUGUUACAACAUCAAAACAACUUACGUAUGCACUGGGGAACUGACAUUUAGGAUUCAGCAGCUCAACCUCUCUACAAAACAUUACAAAAACCUUAGGAAAUCAAAUGCUUCUUUAUCCAGUGUCACGAUACUGAAACAUCUCACCAACGUAUACACCGGGGAACUGACAUUUAUGGUUCUGCUGGUCAACCCCUCUACAAACAUUACUACAAAUACCUUAGGAAAUCAAGUGCUUUAUCCAGUAUAGUUACAACAUUAAAACAGCUUACGUAUGCACUGGGGACAUUAUAUUCAGAAUUCUGCAGCUCAGCCUCUCUACAAACAACACAAAAAUAUUACGAAAUCAAAUGCUUUCUUUAUCUAGCGUUACAGUAAUGAAACAAGUCACUUUGGUAUGCAUCAUGUAGUACUUGCUCAACAUUUAGAAUUCAUGUAAUAUGGAAUAAUAAUGAAUAAAUAUGUUUUCUUCUCGAGUCUGAAUGACCUUAGCUUCCUGGUGGUGGCUGAGUUGGAGGACCGAGGGUAAGGAAGAAGGAGGAGGAGGAGGAGGAGGAGGAGGACGAGGAGGAGGAGGAGGGGAACAUGACAGAGACAGUGACUAAGACCCGAUAAGAGGAUAGCACGGUGGAGUAUGAAAAGGUGAGAGUGGAGUGUGGUCACGUGAAGGCUGGUGAAAUGUUAACAGGAACAGUGGAGCCUAGCGACGGUGGGUGGUUUGGUGAGGUGGACGCAGGGACAUGGGUGUGGUGGAGCAUGUGGAAGAGAAGGUGAAGG